GACGAACGCUGGCGGCGCGCCUAACACAUGCAAGUCGAACGAGCGAGAGAGAGCUUGCUUUCUUGAGCGAGUGGCGAACGGGUGAGUAACGCGUGAGGAACCUGCCUCAAAGAGGGGGACAACAGUUGGAAACGACUGCUAAUACCGCAUAAGCCCACGACCCGGCAUCGGGUAGAGGGAAAAGGAGCAAUCCGCUUUGAGAUGGCCUCGCGUCCGAUUAGCUAGUUGGUGAGGUAACGGCCCACCAAGGCAACGAUCGGUAGCCGGACUGAGAGGUUGAACGGCCACAUUGGGACUGAGACACGGCCCAGACUCCUACGGGAGGCAGCAGUGGGGAAUAUUGCACAAUGGGGGAAACCCUGAUGCAGCGACGCCGCGUGGAGGAAGAAGGUCUUCGGAUUGUAAACUCCUGUUGUUGAGGAAGAUAAUGACGGUACUCAACAAGGAAGUGACGGCUAACUACGUGCCAGCAGCCGCGGUAAAG
rnacentral:rRNA from 1 species